rnacentral:rRNA from 1 species
UUAGAGUUUGAUCCUGGCUCAGAUUGAACGCUGGCGGCAGGCUUAACACAUGCAAGUCGAGCGGUAGCACAGGGGAGCUUGCUCCCUGGGUGACGAGCGGCGGACGGGUGAGUAAUGUCUGGGAAACUGCCUGAUGGAGGGGGAUAACUACUGGAAACGGUAGCUAAUACCGCAUAACGUCGCAAGACCAAAGAGGGGGACCUUCGGGCCUCUUGCCAUCAGAUGUGCCCAGAUGGGAUUAGCUAGUAGGUGGGGUAAUGGCUCACCUAGGCGACGAUCCCUAGCUGGUCUGAGAGGAUGACCAGCCACACUGGAACUGAGACACGGUCCAGACUCCUACGGGAGGCAGCAGUGGGGAAUAUUGCACAAUGGGCGCAAGCCUGAUGCAGCCAUGCCGCGUGUGUGAAGAAGGCCUUCGGGUUGUAAAGCACUUUCAGCGAGGAGGAAGGUGGUGAGCUUAAUACGCUCAUCAAUUGACGUUACUCGCAGAAGAAGCACCGGCUAACUCCGUGCCAGCAGCCGCGGUAAUACGGAGGGUGCAAGCGUUAAUCGGAAUUACUGGGCGUAAAGCGCACGCAGGCGGUUUGUUAAGUCAGAUGUGAAAUCCCCGGGCUCAACCUGGGAACUGCAUUUGAAACUGGCAAGCUAGAGUCUCGUAGAGGGGGGUAGAAUUCCAGGUGUAGCGGUGAAAUGCGUAGAGAUCUGGAGGAAUACCGGUGGCGAAGGCGGCCCCCUGGACGAAGACUGACGCUCAGGUGCGAAAGCGUGGGGAGCAAACAGGAUUAGAUACCCUGGUAGUCCACGCUGUAAACGAUGUCGAUUUGGAGGUUGUGCCCUUGAGGCGUGGCUUCCGGAGCUAACGCGUUAAAUCGACCGCCUGGGGAGUACGGCCGCAAGGUUAAAACUCAAAUGAAUUGACGGGGGCCCGCACAAGCGGUGGAGCAUGUGGUUUAAUUCGAUGCAACGCGAAGAACCUUACCUACUCUUGACAUCCAGAGAACUUUCCAGAGAUGGAUUGGUGCCUUCGGGAACUCUGAGACAGGUGCUGCAUGGCUGUCGUCAGCUCGUGUUGUGAAAUGUUGGGUUAAGUCCCGCAACGAGCGCAACCCUUAUCCUUUGUUGCCAGCGGUUCAGCCGGGAACUCAAGGAGACUGCCAGUGAUAAACUGGAGGAGGGUGGGGAUGACCUCAGUCAUCAUGGCCCUUACGAGAAGGGCUACACACCUUGCUAC